rfam:Candidatus Pacearchaeota archaeon CG1_02_39_14 cg1_0.2_scaffold_1184_c, whole genome shotgun sequence.
AGCCCUGUAGUCUAGCGGUCAAGGAUACGGCCCUCUGGAGGCCGUGACCCCGGUUCGAAUCCGGGCAGGGCUA